rnacentral:rRNA from 1 species
GACGUAGGGCGCGAGCGUUGUCCGGAUUUAUUGGGCGUAAAGAGCUCGUAGGCGGCCAGUUGCGUCCGCUGUGAAAAUCCCGGGGCUUAACCCCGGGCGUGCAGUGGAUACGGGCUGGCUAGAGGCAGGCAGGGGAGAACGGAAUUCCAGGUGUAGCGGUGAAAUGCGUAGAUAUCUGGAGGAACACCGGUGGCGAAGGCGGCAUCCUGGACCGGCAUUGACGCUGAGGCGCGAAAGCCAGGGGAGCAAACGGG